AAAUUGAAGAGUUUGAUCAUGGCUCAGAUUGAACGCUGGCGGCAGGCCUAACACAUGCAAGUCGAACGGUAGCAGGAAGAAGCUUGCUUCUUCGCUGACGAGUGGCGGACGGGUGAGUAAUGUCUGGGAAACUGCCUGAUGGAGGGGGAUAACUACUGGAAACGGUAGCUAAUACCGCAUAACGUCGCAAGACCAAAGAGGGGGACCUUCGGGCCUCUUGCCAUCGGAUGUGCCCAGAUGGGAUUAGCUUGUUGGUGGGGUA
rnacentral:rRNA from 1 species